UAGGGAAUCUUCGGCAAUGGACGAAAGUCUGACCGAGCAACGCCGCGUGAGUGAAGAAGGUUUUCGGAUCGUAAAACUCUGUUGGUAGAGAAGAACGUUGGUGAGAGUGGAAAGCUCAUCAAGUGACGGUAACUACCCAGAAAGGGACGGCUAACUACGUGCCAGCAGCCGCGGUAAUACGUAGGUCCCGAGCGUUGUCCGGAUUUAUUGGGCGUAAAGCGAGCGCAGGUGGUUUAUUAAGUCUGGUGUAAAAGGCAGUGGCUCAACCAUUGUAUGCAUUGGAAACUUGUAGACUUGAGUGCAGGAGAGGAGAGUGGAACUCCAUGUGUAGCGGUGAAAUGCGUAGAUAUAUGGAGGAACACCGGUGGCGAAAGCGGCUCUCUGGCCUGUAACUGACACUGAGGCUCGAAAGCGUGGGGAGCAAACA
rnacentral:rRNA from 1 species